ACAACCCGUGUGGCCAGCUGUGUUCCUUCAACAUGGCGGCCCACUGCUAACCAGAGGAGUUGUGGUUCCUGUUUAGAUAAAAUAUCCGGAAUACGUACAUGUAGUUUAACAUGUACAGUUUUAAUAACUUUGGUGUUUUCGUGCAUUUUAGAAUGUUUAUGGCUGACUGUUUUGAUUGUAUUCAUCAAUUCCAUCGUUAGCUUUUGAUAACUGGAAGUAUUUGAUCAGCGAUUUAACAAUUGGAAUAUUUUAUCUCUACAACUGCACAUAUAUACAUUGAUGGAUGCAAAAACAAAGGCCUUACGUUUUUGUUUCAUUUUUUUCAGUAGAUUCUCAUUUAACAAACAAGGCGUCCAGAGUAUCAAUGAAUGUUUUGUGAUUAAAAUAUAAAUCGAAAA
rnacentral:misc_RNA from 1 species